AACAGAUCUUAAUAUGUGAUAAAUUAUAACCAAAAAUAAUUCUUAAACAAGCUUAAGGAAACAAAUAAGUAUAUAAAAAUACAAAAAAAAAAUUGUCUACACAUAAAAGAAUAAAAAAAUAAAGAAAGAAAAAGAAAUAUUGUUGAAAAAAUUGUUAAAAAAAUCAGGACCGUUGGAUCACCUUCUCCCCAUUCAUCUUCUUCUUUCGAAACACCAUCUCCGUGUCCAAACCGAACCCGUCAACUUUCCGGACAUGAACCACUUCCGAUUUCUUGAACAUCUCCACCAAUGGCUUUGUGUUGAACAAAUCAUUAGCCGAGUACUUAUCAGCCCGUCGAGAAAUCGCUACGUGUAGCACGCAUAUCCCCCCGGGCUUCAACGUCCGUUCGAUCUCGGCGACGAACUUGUCCGGAUACAACGCGUGAUCGAACACGUUAGAGAACUCGAAAUCAAAAGUCUCAUCAUCGAACGGCUGGUGAUGGAAAUCACCCUUUAUUACCAGCGGCGGGAAGGGCACAAGGUCAAUACCAACAGAAUCGGCGACGCCGAUACGUCUCAGAGCCUCCACCUCCUGGCCGACCCUGGCACCGAUACAUAACGCUUUGGAAUCAUUGGAAAGAAGGUUUCUUUGCUUCAUAUAUUGAAAAAAACUCGCAAAGACUUGAAUUUUACGGUCCCAGUCCCGGGUUGUCCAUAUCUUUCGUAGUUUGGGAUUGAGGGUCUUGUUGAGUUGGUGCUGUAUGUAGGAAUCGUAGGAGGUGUAUCCGGGUCGGAUUCUGAGGUCCUUGAUGGUGGAGGGAGAGUUUUGCGGCAGUGGGUCGGUGGCCGUUUUGAGAGGGAAGAAGAAGAGAAGGAGAGGAAAAGAAAGGAAAAGGGAGAGAAGAAAGUAUUUGAGUAUGGGAGGUUUCUGUUUCAUGUUUUGCAUGUAUCUAUCUAUCUGCAAACUAAAAGACUACAGCUUUGUCCUUUAAAAACACUUUCCUUUCCUCCCUUGAAAAUUGUUUUCCGUCUUGUUUAGGGUUUGCGUUCUGGUUGCAUGGAAGAGAUGGAGGGAAAGGGAAAAAAAAUAAGAGAAAUUUCGAGCGUUAAUUAAUUAGAUAUGGUUAAGCCAAUGAAGGACGGUCA
rnacentral:misc_RNA from 1 species